UGAGCAGGUGAAGAAUGUUGUGAAUGGAGAAGCCGAGGAAGGGAGCAUUGGUAUGGAUAAUAUGGACAGCGUGAACAAUGAGGGCGACAUAGAUAACUCUAUGGGUAUUGGUGCUAUUUCCCACUAUGUUGAGCUGCCACGUGUUUCAAAAGAAAUUACAGUGGUUACUGAUAGACCAUGGAUUUGACCCAUUUUUAUCUAUGGUUUAUAGGUAUUUUUACUAUCUAUUAUUAUAUUAUAGAGUCUAUUUAUUAUAUUUAUAAGAUCAGGAGUGAUUUGGAGAUAAGUGAUGAAUUUGGAGCAUUUUGGAGAUAUUUGGAGCAAGCACCUGAGAUGACGAUCGAGCUCGACCAUUGUCGAUAUUGGAGGAGGAAUAUCGAUCGAUGUUCACACCUGAACUUCGAUCGACAGCGAAGCGCGCAGAAAGCCCGUUUGGUCACAACCGACUUGAAGUCCAAGUUUUCACCAAUUUAUAAGAUUACCCCUGACGAGUUUUAAUCUAACUAUAUAAGCUUUGCCACCAUGUAAGAGGCAAAUGAUGCUUUUCUGUGUGUUUUAGUUUUAUUUCUUUCAGCAAAAGGUUUUAGGAUUGUGAUAGAUUGGAGAGAAGAUCCAAAGUUAUAAUUUGUGAUUGGAACUCCAUUAAUAUCUAUUUUACUAUUCUAUGAAGUUUUCUAACCUAAUUGCUUUCAUGAAUUGCUUGGCCAUGUCUGAGUAAAUCCACUGUUAGAUUUAGGGUUUAAAUAGGUUAUGAGGGAUUAGCCCCAACUAUAGAUUGCUGAGUUGUGGUAAUUAUCAUUAGGAUUGUUCAUUAAUGCCUGUUUCUAGAUUAGCUACCUAGAACUUGCCCUAGGAUUGAUAGAUAAAAGCGAGAGCUUCAUUCUCAUCCUGAAAACAUUCUAACUGAGCUAAGUUUCAAUUCACUCAGGAGCCUGCAUAAUCAUUUAGGGGCUCUUGGAUCAGAUUCAAGUCUUAUCAGAGAGACUGUCACUCAGGAGACUGCAUAAUCUACGAGGAUUCAAUGAAGUACAACUGCUCGCUACUUUCUACAGAGGCAUCGCGGUGCAGUACCAUAUUGCUCUUGAUGCUUCCAGCAAUGGAACCUUCAACACCAUGAAUCCAGAGGAGGCAAUAAAGGUUAUUGAAAACCUAGCAUCCAGCAACAUCACCAAGAACACUGAUUUUGAGGGGAAAAGAUCUGCCAAGAUCCUUGGGAAUGAUCAGAUGGAUAAGGUGAAGGCAAAGCUGGAUAGUGUUCACAAGCUCCUCAGGAAGCAUGUUAGCUUUGUUGAAGAUGCAGAAGCUGUAGAGGGUAGAGCAGAGGAAGAAGAGGUGAACUACAUUGGUGGAACUGGAUUCCAAGGUUCUGGAAACCAGGGUGGAAACAAAAACUCAUAUAGAAAUAUGAGAAAUUUCAACCAAAAUUCACAAUACCAAAAACCCUACAACAACAACUACAACAUGAAUUAUUGAAGUUCCUACUACCAGAAGCAACUGCUGCCUACUCAAGAGAGCAAGAUUGAAGAGAUGCUUGAUAGAGUUCUUGAGGCACAGCAGCGAAUGACAGUAAACUUCAAUGGGAAAAUAGAUUCUGUCUACACCAACCUGAACACAAAAUUUGAGACUUUGCGCACUCAUGUGAAGAAGCUGGAGAUGAAAGUUGUACAGACAAGAGAUGUUGUGAAGAGGCAGGAAGCCUCGACAAGAGGGGUAUGAGAUGAUGUGAUGAAACACCACGUGAAUGCCAUCAUUGAGGAUGAUUUUUGGUAACUGGUGAAGGAAGAUUACCUUCAAGAAGGAAAUUUUGAGGUAGAAAGUUUGAUGAGUUUUGGUGGAUCGCAAUGGUGUCGAUCGACGCCAGACCUCGAACAUCGAUCGACAUACACCAGUCCAAAUCGAUCGACAGAAACUCUAGAGCAUUGAUCAACGACGCCUACGUAGUCAACCACGUCUUGCAAUGCCGUGAAGAUUCUAACUCAUGAGGAGUUUUCAGCAAAACACCCACAUCCGCCCAGCCAUGUUAACGUACGAAUAAAUCGACAUGCUAACAACAACAUCGAUCGACACUCAGAAGCCGCCAUUGAACGACAACCUCCAGCGCCUAUCGAUCGACGUGCACCUAUUACCUAUCGAUCGAUGAGCACUUAAUGCACUCAUGCCCAAACCCAAACCUUUCGAAUACCCACUAGAGACCGUCAGGACACCUUCAGAUGAUGGAGAAGAUCCUAUGGAAGAGGAUAGGGUUCCUACUGAAAGAACCCUAAGGAGAAAAAAGGAAAAAGUUGCGAAACAUCUGAAGAGGGGGGCCAAUGAUAAGGAAAAGGAAAGUUUCCGGAAGAGAGUCUUUAGGAUUCCUAUAGAUAAGCCAUUUGAGAAUGCUUAUUAUAACCACAGAUUGUGGAUGUUCUUCACAGAAACUAGAGAGAAAGAAUAAGACAUCAUGUGAAUGUUCUGUGAAGCUAGAGAAAAGAUGAGGAUGAGGAUUACAUUGAAGAAGAAGGUUGAUCAUGGGCAAUUUGCAAUACCAUGCACGGUGAAGGGUAUUGAGUUCCCACAUGCCUUGUGCGACACAGGAGCAUCAGUCAGCAUCGUACCUAAGGUUAUGGCAGACCAUCUGGGUCUGCAGGUGGAGCCUUCGCAGGAAUUGUUAACUUUUGUGGAUUGUUCGCAGAUGAACUCAGGAGGAAUUGUGAGAGACCUAGAGGUGCAGAUUUGUAAUGCCCUAGUUCCAGUUGAUUUCCAUGUCUUGGACAUCAAGUUAAACUGGAACUCUUCUCUACUACUUGGGAGAGCUUUCUUGUCAAUAGUGGGAGCAGUGUGCAGCUCACAAACCAACCAGUUGUGUCUAACACUCAUCGAUCCUAAUGCCCACUACGAUCCUAUCCCAGUCAAGCAGCCCUCCCCAACCUAGGUCAAAUCAACUUCAGGUAAAGCAGUAUCUUGGUCUGUAUCGAUGAUAUUAGAUUGAUUUCAUAUUUGGGUCAAUUGAAUCGAAUUCUGGAGGAAUGGGAAAGUUUGGAUUGUCUGUAUGUUAUGGAUGUGGAUAAUCAACAACUAGAAGGUAAUGUCGGGAAUCAAAGCUGUGAAUUUUGAAUCCUGUUAAGAUGUUAUCGGAAACUGCUAGAGUAGAAAAAUGUAUGUAGGUGAAACUUUACUCCGUAACAAAAAAAGUGUAACAAGGUAUAACUUAGUAUAACUUCAAUAGCAUAACUGUAUAACUAGGUUUAACUUUGAAUAGUUAUUUUUUUUUUUACAACAGACAAUGGGUUAUUCUUCUACAAACAUACACUUCGACUAUUAUGGACAUUAUACAAAAUCUGGAGAUGAUAUGAAUGGAUUCCAAGCAAUGGUCGUUUGUAUGCUAUAUCCUUUAAGACAUCGUCAUUGGAUGAGAUCACUUAUUCGUUUUUCAAGGAGAGGAUAUGCAAGAAGAUGACCAUUUUUCCGUGUACAAAGAGUAUGAAACUGAGUUACAUUCCACUGGAAGUAGAACCUAAGAGGCAAUCAUAUAUUUUGGAUGAUGAAGAUGUGUUUGUGUAUUUGACAUCAGUGGAUAAAGAGGAAAGAAGAAGUAUUUUGCAUGUAGAGGUCAUCGAAGAAAUGGAAAUAGUUCCAAUAACAGAGCAACAAUCAAGAGUUGAGAAAGAAAGCUCAUAUGAUGGGAACUAUAGUGAGCUUGCGAGUGGAUUACCAGAUGAUGAAAGUAAUCCAGGUGCACUCACUCUGUUUACUCCUAUUGAAGAAGCAUAACAAUAUCUAGAGGGGAUUGAGCAGGUGAAGAAUGUUGUGAAUGGAGAAGCCGAGGAAGGGAGCAUUGGUAUGGAUAAUAUGGACAGCGUGAACAAUGAGGGCGACAUAGAUAACUCUAUGGGUAUUGGUGCUAUUUCCCACUAUGUUGAGCUGCCACGUGUUUCAAAAGAAAUUACAGUGGUUACUGAUAGACCAUGGAUUUGACCCAUUUUUAUCUAUGGUUUAUAGGUAUUUUUACUAUCUAUUAUUAUAUUAUAGAGUCUAUUUAUUAUAUUUAUAAGAUCAGGAGUGAUUUGGAGAUAAGUGAUGAAUUUGGAGCAUUUUGGAGAUAUUUGGAGCAAGCACCUGAGAUGACGAUCGAGCUCGACCAUUGUCGAUAUUGGAGGAGGAAUAUCGAUCG
rnacentral:lncRNA from 1 species